GGCCCCGCCGGGAGCUCUGUUUAUAAACACACCGCGCGGCCGCCGGCGAGGGGUAACCCUAAAGGUAGUGCGGUCGGAGGUCAGAGGUCAGCGGGGCGCCAACUGGGAGAUCCAUCCCUUCGUCUUCGCGGGCUGCUGGCUGCGCGCUCAACGAAUUCCUGAAUAUUUAACAGUCAGCUCUCAUGAGCCGGCUGCAGCUCAACACUGGUCUUACACAAAGUGGAUCCGAGGAGCAAACUACCGUGUUGUGUAACAGCCCCUGAAGAGUUCACGAGGCAGGGGACCACAGGUGGCCUCUAGGACCUGAGAGCCAUCUCUAGCCAAGAGCCAGGAAGAAUCAGGGGCCCUCAGUCUCACAGCCACAAGGACACGAGUCUGCUAACAACCUGAAUGAGCUUGAAAGAGGAUUCUUGCCCACUUACGCCUCCAGAUUAGAACACAGCCAGACCGGCACCUGGAUUGUAGCUGCCUGAGACCCUGAGCAGAAGACCCGGGUCAGCCGUGCCCAGACUCCUGCCCCACGGAAACUGAGAUAAUACACGUGUGUUGUCUUAAGCUGCUAAAUCUGUGGUCGUUUGUUACGCAGCAAUAGAAAACUGAUGCACCAUUGUUCACAGGAUGUGUGCAUCUUUCUGUGUGUG